rnacentral:misc_RNA from 1 species
GUGAAUCAUCGAAUUUUUGAACGCAAAUUGCACUCCCUUCGGAGAGUAUGCCUGUUUGAGGGUCAGCCUAAAAAAAAUCGACAUAGUUGCUGUUUCGCGGUGACAUUCGUCGGAAAUUGGGUUAUCUUAAAUCUUUGGGUUCUAAGCGGCUUAAACUUUUCUUUACGAUUUUACGAAAGUUUCUAAGAUUUACUUCUUACACGUUUAAGGUAAUCGAUCUUUAUGAGACGUGGCCGUUGCAUAGGUUCUCGUCUAUAAAUAUUUCGUUAACUGAACUCAGACAGGUAAGUACUUCC